AAUGCGCCAUGACGGGAACUCCCUUACUUUUUUAUAGAUGGGGAAACUGAGGCUCUAGAAGCCUGGGCAACUCACCUAAGGCCCACACUAUGAGUGAGUGGUCAGAAAGGGUUAUAACCCAGGACUGUUAUGAUCCUCCAAAUUUUGUUUUGUCAACCAUUCUUCUCUACUGCCUCCGUCUUUAUAACAUGUCCUUCACGUUGCUUGUUUGGUUUGAAUGUCUAUGUGUGUGAUUCCUUUUUCUCAAUAUGAUUUUAAUUAUACAGUUACCUGAAUAAAUACAAUUUGAAUUUGGCAUUAGCUGUAAUGUGGUUUUCCCAUUGGUGAGCAUAAUCACAGAACAUAAUUGACUGCCCAGCCUGUCUCCUUUAGGGACAGAGGGACAGCCCAGUGUGAACUUAUGCUUAACAUUUCUUUACAGGGUCAGCUCCUUGUAUUUGCUCACAUGUACACAAUGAAAUGGCAGAGUCUGAGGGAAUAUAUUGAUUAUCAAAGGAUUCUAGACCAACUUUCUCAUUUUCAGAAGAUAGAAUUGGAAGGCCCAUGAGUUUAAAUAACUUGCAAUAAUAACUCUCAAGAAGGUAAAAUUGUCCCUCACUAGAGGAAAGGCUGUAGAACUUUUAGAAACCUCUCAAUGCACAUAUGGAUUAUAUUUCAUUUUAUGAUAUUCCUAAAUCCAUGUGUUCAUAUAUUCAGUGACACCCUAUAGGCAGCCGCUACUGCCAUCUGUUGGUGAUGAACAGAGCUGGUGCAUAAAAUGGUUCCUUUCCAUGAAAGUUCUUAAGUUAAAACUUCAUUGCAGGAACUUCUGUAUUCAUUAAAAAAAAAAAAAAAAAAAAAGUAAGGCAUGUGGAAUCAGAUAUACCUGGGUUCAAAUCUUGGCUGUGUUUCAUGCAAGAACUGUAACCACUUUCAUCCAUGAUUUUCCAUUUGUAAAGUGGGGAUAAUAUACAGUUCAUAGGGAUGCUGUAAGAAUUAAGAAACAAAUGUGUAUUAAUUUGAGUAAAUGCUAGCCAAAAUCUCAGCAGCUCAACACAGUCUCCUGUUAACAUCGCAGUUACUUGCUCAUGUCAUGGUUCAAAGUGGGUGCUCCAGAUGUGUCACGACCAAGCUACUUCCAUCUUAUGACUCUGCCGUCUUCAACUCUGGCCUCCAAUAUCCACCAGCAAAGAAAGAGGAGAGGGCGUGGAGGUGUAGUCUGGUAGGAGAGGGAAAGAAAACAUUAAUGAUGGGCUGCCAGAUGCAGUGGUCGUAUUGAAUCCUAAAGGAUCCCAAUAGGAAGCCAGUUAUGGUUUUUGUACAGUUAACCCAUGCCACUGGGGAGGAGGCUGAGGCUUGGUGCAGUUCUGCCUCACACCUUGUAACUCCACAACACAGCUGGGACUGAAUCCAGGUUUCCAUUUGUGAUACAAGUGGUUUGUGGCCAAAGAAAGUGCAGAAUGCUUGAUUACGUGCCAUCACCCAUAUUCCCCAGCACCCUGAGAAACAACAAGCUACACAGCGAUGGUAAACAACGCUCCCGAGGAAACCACUUCAAAAAACUCAGGUCAGUGUCCCCAAGAGGACAGUUUUACUGCAAAGCACUGUGUAGAAUAAACAUUGCUUCUAAGCAGAGAAACGCUUAGGAGAUAAGGCUGUCAAGGAAGGGAGGGCACGAGUGCACUGAGAUGAUGGGGCAGAAAAGGCAGGGAUUCCAAGGACUGACAGCCCUGGGUUUCAAUACCAGAUUCAGUUCCAGCUGCGUAGAGUCACUUAGGUUCUCUGCUCCUGUGUCUUUUCCUAUAUCCAAUGGGAGUAAGGUUACAAACCUCUAAGAUUGUUAUGAAUACUGGGUCAGUAUAAAGUGCUGGGCAUGGUGAUUGCCUUUCUGGGAGAUUUAUUCAUUCUGUUCCUGCUAGUUCUACUUAGAACAAAUUAGUGAAUAAGUAUGUGCAGAUUAAAUGCCCUAAAUGAUCAUCUCCUCGUUUCUGUGAGCACACGUGCCCACGGGUGAACAUGGAUGGAUGUGGGGAGUCAUCAGUUCCAAGCCUCUGGCAGCUCUAGAAGCCUCACAUCUCAAGGCUUCCCCACCCUACCCCCAGUUACCGUUCAGAUAAUUUGUGUGAAUUCUCUGAGCUAUGUCAGGUUUAUGAGCAAGUGUUUUCUAAUCCUUUCUAGAAUAACUCAGACAUAAUCUACAGAGAGUCCUCCUUUCCCCGGGGCUUUAAUUUCCUUCACCUUCUUCUCUCAUUUAAUGUUAGUAACAAUGGUAACAGUAACCAUAAUGACAGCUGUCUUUAGUGAGUGCCUGCUAUGUACCAGCCCUGUGCUAGGUCCUUUAAGUAUAUUAGCCUUCCAACAAUUUAGAGAGCUAUGUAUUUUUAUCCACAUAUGGGUUUCUUUUUAUCAGGGACUAUCCCUUAUAAGACAACAUUUCUGAAUUAUCUGGGACUCCCCUAGAAGCAAGGUUUCUGAAGUUUUAGUUCUAUAGGCCAGACGUCCCCUUUGAAGUGAUCGCUUUUGCCACCUGCCAUCAUAGAGACCCCGUAGGCCACAUGGCCUUGUCCAGUGGUAACUUCUCAUUCUGUUGACCCACACUGUAAGGCUAUCCUUCCCACCCCUCCCUGACCCGGGGCGGGGGGGGCAGGGAAACUCUGCUGGUCCAAUCAGAGCCCUUCUUUUAGCCACGUGGGAUCACUUAGUUCUUCAACUUAGUCACUCAUUCUUAGCCCAGAGCUCCUGCGAAAGACUCUUGAAUAUCCUCUUGAGUCUCUCACCUCCUUCCACCAUGCAUUUUCUUUUUUUUUUUUUUAAUUU